GCCAGCUCUGGGAAGAAUUAAGAUAAAUACUCUGGUGUUCAGAGCAGUUAGCUGACUUACACAGAAGUGUAUGGCAAGGAACUGAGAGAUGCAGGAGUAGAACUCAGAUGAAACGCUGUGUUUCAGAGGACUUUGCGAAUUGCCCAGGGCUUGGCUCCAUUUUCUACUCUGAAAUCUAUUUUCUAUCUACACAAUCUUAUUGAACGGUAGACACUGGUGCCCCUGCUCUUCGGGCUUUUGGACUUGGAGUAAUUACACCACCAGUUUUGCUGGACCUCCAGCUUACAGAUGGACGAUUGUGGACUUCUCGGCCUCCAUA